CCAAGUGGCACAAGGCUUAGCAACUGCAAUGGUUCUUGCCACUGCAGCAGUGAAUGGAUUGGCAUUAAUCAUGUAUUUUAUUUUAUGUGAGAGCAAAGAUUUUCUUAGGUUCAUGCAUCGGAUAGGUGCAGCUGUAGGAAGGAGUUGGAAUGUUAUAACAUAACCUUGGCCAUUGUUUGUCUGGGCUAUGUGAAACUGAGAUUUUGAAUUAGUCAGCGUGGCUCCUGGGACUGGGAGUAGCAUUUGCAAGGAAGUCCUUGAAUCCCAAGCUGCAAAUAAUGAGUUAUCCAUUGCAAGUGAUGAAUUGGACAAAUUCGAGCUAACUAAGCCUACUAUUGCUCCUAGCAUUAAAGGAGGUGUAUCUUCCACUACUGGUGUGAAUGAGCUUCUUAAGUGCCCUAUCUGUACAAACUCAAUGUACCCUUCCAUACACCAGUCUUUGGGGCCUUUGGCAACCUGCAAGGGAGUGGUAGUUUCUCUGCAUUUGGUGGUAGCAAUGCCAUGAGAAUCGAAAACCAUCCAACCUUUUCACGUAGAUGAGAAGAUAGAAAGUCUCCAACAAGAUUUGCAGUUGAAAACCAGGUCCGCACCAUGAGAGUAGAGAAGCGCCUAAAUGAGAUAGCUUGGAUAUCAAAUAUAUUCAUCAAGGUAGGCCCCACGGUGUGGGCCGCAUCAUCUUGGGUGAGUUUGGGGUCUCACCUAAUCCACUCCUAUCCAGCGGCCUAGUUAGUUAAAUAUGAAGUUUGAAGGCUGAAUUUGAAAUUUGAAUAUGAAGUCUUGAACACUUGUUUGGUAAUUGUUAUUGAAGUUUGAAUAUUAAAUACUGAAUCUGAAAUUACCUUUGUUAACAAAUUAGUUAAAAUGUCUAAAAUUUGUUAAUUUAAUACAUUUGGCCAGUGGCUGGCUUGCAAAUUUGUGGUCCAACCUUCUUAACUAACUGUGUGCUCUGUCAUGCUGAAGGCGUCAUUCACCCCUUAAAGAAAAAAACGAGAGAAUAUGUUUGAAAGGUAAAACCAUGAAUCUUCAAUGAUAUUGGGAAAUUAGUCUGCAGUGAGUCUCUGGGUCAGAGGGCUGCUUCUAAGGUUCCUAUUCUGUUUCCUGAUUUCAUCUCAGCCUAGAAGUUUCAUGAGAAAAUUCUAAACCAAUUACCCAUUGCCUCUUUUCUAGAUAUUCUUCUGGAAUUCCUUAGAUUCACACUUUUUUCUAAAUACACCAAGAUAUUUAUGCAAUUUGUAUUUGGAAAUCUAGGAUCAACUUGGUAUAGGUCUUGCUUUAGGUUUAUGAUAAUCUAUAUAUAGCUUAAGGUAUGCAUUUUGUUUGUGGCUAUGCCUAGUUUCAAUUUGUUGUUGGUGUUGACAACGGAUAUGAUGAAGCCACAAAAGUAAUGUCAUGCGAGGAGAUUAUUUUAGGAGAGAAACAACCAUUGAA